UUCUAUUCUUUCUUUUUUCCCUUUUUAGAGGACUGGGGUGUGGAUGUAGAUGUCGCCUCUUCACUAUCGACGAAAGAUUUUUCGUCAGCAUAGUGUGAUUCUUUAACUGAGAAUUAAGUCACCAUCUUCUGAUCACCAUCUGCUUUGUAUUUGAAGCACUGAUGAAAAGUGGAGGGGACAACAUAGUUGUUGUGAAUCCAGGGCCUCCCGAGCAAAGCUCGGUACGAUGCGGACACAUUCCUUGUAUUAGAGGAGUUGGACCCUGAGACUGGUAUCAAACCAGAACUGGACUUCUCGGAAAUUUACCUCGAUUAGAGUUUUUCUGCCCGUCUAUUCAUAUUAUCAAAUAACUUUCCGGAAAGAUGAUUCCAUUCCAUAUCAGAGUGAAGAAAGGAGCAAUGAAGCAGUUCCUAUAUACGUUAUUGGAAGAUAGGGAGGUGUUUCAGACUCAUCAAAGUAAGCAAUGAAGCAGUUCCUAUAUACGUUAUUGGAAGAUAGGGAGGUGUUUCAGACUCAUCAAAGUAAGCAACGAGUACUAGUUCAAUGAAAGCGACAUAUCAUGGAUGAGGUCUAACAGAAGGAGAAGGUCCUUCUUUGCGCGAGUCAGGUAUGAGCCCACUUCAUUAAAUAUCAGGAGAUGAGCCGAUGACAAAAGAGUUGAGUUCGCAGCUAACGGCACAGAAGCUCCGAGGCCAAGAGUUGACACCGCUUCUUGACUUCAGACUUCAUUGACGAGUCCGGCAAGAGAAAGAGAACUCUUUCAGACCCUUAGUUUCAAGACUCUGGCUUUCAGUCUUCCAUUUCCAGGUGAGUGUGCGUCGAGAUGACUUCUGUCAAUAGGCAACUGCCACUCUAUUACGCAACCUCACUCCAGUAGCUGUCGUAGUUGAGGACAUAGCUACGAGAGAAGAGCAAGAGGACCUUGCCAAUGUCUUGACCUUCAUCAAGCUGAGGCGCAAGUCAAAUCCGAAUAAGCGGCUUUAUCUCUUGAUCUACGAUAUUGGACUCUCGGGAGUUUGACACAGCCUUUAGAGGGGCAUGACAGCAGAUAGGGACUACCCGCAUGGAUGAGUUCAGUUCCAAGUAAGCAUGUAAGCAAGCAGUAAGUACAGCGUGAAGCAAGUCAAGGCAUGGGCUUUCCUUUAACAGAAAGAAAUGGAGUAAGGGACGAUUCUAGAUAACCUUGUUCUUUCAGGAUGAUAUAGACAAUAGGUAGUUGUCGUAAGAAAGCAGGAAGGAAGAGAGGACAGG
rnacentral:lncRNA from 1 species